rnacentral:rRNA from 1 species
UACGAAGGGGGCUAGCGUUGUUCGGAAUUACUGGGCGUAAAGCGCGUGUAGGCUGCUUGGAAAGUCGGAUGUGAAAGCCCUGGGCUCAACCUAGGAAGAGCAUUCGAAACUUCCAAGCUUGAGUUUCGGAGAGGAAGGCGGAAUUCUCGGUGUAGAGGUGAAAUUCGUAGAUAUUCGGAAGAACACCAGUGGCGAAGGCGACUCACUGGACAUGUAUUGACGCUGAGGUGCGAAAGCGUGGGGAGCAAACAGG